rnacentral:tRNA from 1 species
GCCUGGGUGGCUCAGUCGGUUAAGCAACCGACUCCUGAUCUCUAGGUUCGUGGGUUCAAACCCCGUCAUGGGCA